GAGUGGGUUGCAAAAGAAGUAGGUAGCUUAACCUUCGGGAGGGCGCUUACCACUUUGUGAUUCAUGACUGGGGUGAAGUCGUAACAAGGUAACCGUAGGGGAACCUGCGGUUGGAUCACCUCCUUA
rnacentral:rRNA from 3 species